rnacentral:tRNA from 1 species
GCCCGGGUGGCUCAGUCGGUUGAGCGUCCGACUUCGGCUCAGGUCACGAUCUCGCGGUCCGUGAGUUCGAGCCCCGCGCCGGGCU